UUUAGCGAUAACUUGGAGGUC
rnacentral:miRNA from 1 species